CACGUAGGGUGCGAGCGUUGUCCGGAAUUAUUGGGCGUAAAGAGCUCGUAGGCGGUGUGUCGCGUCGGCCGUGAAAACCUGCAGCUUAACUGUGGGCUUGCGGUCGAUACGGGCAUCACUGGAGUUCGGCAGGGGGAGACUGGAAUUCCUGGGUGUAGCGGUGAAAUGCGCAGAUAUCAGGAGGGAACACCCGGUGGGCGAAGGCGGCAUCCUGGACCAA
rnacentral:rRNA from 1 species